GACGAACCGUGCGAACGUUGUUCGGAAUCACUGGGCUUAAAGGGCGCGUAGGCGGGCGGGCAAGUCAGGGGUGAAAUCCCACGGCUCAACCGUGUAAGUGCCCUUGAUACUGCCGGUCUCGAGGGAGGUAGGGGCGUGCGGAACUUCCGGUGGAGCGGUGAAAUGCGUAGAUAUCGGAAGGAACACCGGUGGCGAAAGCGGCGCGCUGGAUCUCUACUGUCGCUGAGGCGCGAAAGCCAGGGGAGCAAACGGG
rnacentral:rRNA from 1 species